GCAGUCGACGGCAGCAUGAUUCAGUUUACUGUAUUGAUGGCGAGUGGCGAACGGGUGAGUAACGCGUAGGAAUAUACCCUAGAGCGGGGGAUAACUUGGGGAAACUCAAGCUAAUACCGCAUAGACUCUGCGGAGUAAAGCUGGGGACCUUUUUGAGGCCUGGCACUUUAGGAAUAGCCUGCGUCUGAUUAGCUAGUUGGUGGGGUAAAGGCUUACCAAGGCGAUGAUCGGUAGCUGGUCUGAGAGGACGAACAGCCACACUGGGACUGAGACACGGCCCAGACUCCUACGGGAGGCAGCAGUGGGGAAUAUUGGACAAUGGGGGGAACCCUGAUCCAGCGAUGCCGCGUGUGUGAAGAAGGCCUGCGGGUUGUAAAGCACUUUCGGUUAGGAGGAAGCUAUUUGAGGUUAAGAGCUACGGGUAGUGACGUUACUGACAUAAGAAGCUCCGGCUAACUCCGUGCCAGCAGCCGCGGUAAUACGGAGGGUGCGAGCGUUAAUCGGAAUUACUGGGCGUAAAGGGUGCGUAGGUGGUUUAAUAAGUUAACUGUGAAAUACCUGGGCUUAACCUGGGGGUGUCAGUUAAGACUGUUAGACUCGAGUAUGGGAGAGGGUAGUGGAAUUUCCGGUGUAGCGGUGAAAUGCGUAGAUAUCGGAAGGAACACCGGUGGCGAAGGCGUCUACCUGGCCUAAUACUGACACUGAGGUACGAAAGCGUGGGUAGCAAACGGGAUUAGAUACCCUGGUA
rnacentral:rRNA from 1 species